AACGCUAGCUACAGGCUUAACACAUGCAAGUCGCGGGGUAACGAGAGGGAAGCUUGCUUUCCUUGUCGACGACCGGCGCACGGGUGAGUAACGCGUAUCCAACCUGCCCAUUACCACGGGAUACCCCGUCGAAAGGCGGCCUAAUACCGUAUGCAGUCGUCAGAUGACAUCAGAGGACGACGAAAGGAUUGGCGGUAAUGGAUGGGGAUGCGUCUGAUUAGGUAGUUGGAGGGGUAACGGCCCACCAAGCCAUCGAUCGGUAGGGGUUCUGAGAGGAAGGUCCCCCACAUUGGAACUGAGACACGGUCCAAACUCCUACGGGAGGCAGCAGUGAGGAAUAUUGGUCAAUGGACGAGAGUCUGAACCAGCCAAGUAGCGUGAAGGAUGACUGCCCUAUGGGUUGUAAACUUCUUUUAUACGGGAAUAAAGUGGAGUAUGCAUACUCCUUUGUAUGUACCGUAUGAAUAAGGAUCGGCUAACUCCGUGCCAGCAGCCGCGGUAAUACGGAGGAUCCGAGCGUUAUCCGGAUUUAUUGGGUUUAAAGGGAGCGUAGGCGGGUGCUUAAGUCAGUUGUGAAAGUUUGCGGCUCAACCGUAAAAUUGCAGUUGAAACUGGCAGUCUUGAGUACAGUAGAGGUGGGCGGAAUUCGUGGUGUAGCGGUGAAAUGCUUAGAUAUCACGAAGAACUCCGAUUG
rnacentral:rRNA from 1 species